UCAGGUCCCAACUCUUGCCCAAACUUGAUGACUUCAUGAGGUGCCACCUCAGCAAUUGGGACAACACACUCAUUGACAUUCAACAAAAAACCAAAGAGAAGAGCUUGCCAAGAAACCAAACAUGACAUGCUUGAUAUAAUCUAACAGAUGAAGAGAAAAUUGAUCAAACGAUAGCAA